AGAGUUUGAUCCUGGCUCAGAACGAACGCUGGCGGCAGGCCUAACACAUGCAAGUCGAACGGGAUCUUCGGAUCUAGUGGCGGACGGGUUAGUAACGCGUGGGAACGUACCCUUUUCUACGGAAUAGCCUCGGGAAACUGAGAGUAAUACCGUAUACGCCCUUCGGGGGAAAGAUUUAUCGGAGAAGGAUCGGCCCGCGUAAGAUUAGAUAGUUGGUGGGGUAAUGGCCUACCAAGUCUACGAUCUUUAGCUGGUUUGAGAGGAUGAUCAGCAACACUGGGACUGAGACACGGCCCAGACUCCUACGGGAGGCAGCAGUGGGGAAUCUUAGACAAUGGGGGAAACCCUGAUCUAGCCAUGCCGCGUGAGUGACGAAGGCCUUAGGGUCGUAAAGCUCUUUCGCUGGGGAAGAUAAUGACUGUACCCAGUAAAGAAACCCCGGCUAACUCCGUGCCAGCAGCCGCGGUAAU
rnacentral:rRNA from 1 species